rnacentral:rRNA from 1 species
GACGAACGCUGGCGGCGUGCUUAACACAUGCAAGUCGAACGCUGAAGCUUGGUGCUUGCACUGGGUGGAUGAGUGGCGAACGGGUGAGUAAUACGUGAGUAACCUGCCCUUGACUCUGGGAUAAGCCUGGGAAACUGGGUCUAAUACUGGAUACGACAUGUCACCGCAUGGUGGUGUGUGGAAAGGGUUUUACUGGUUUUGGAUGGGCUCACGGCCUAUCAGCUUGUUGGUGGGGUAAUGGCUCACCAAGGCGACGACGGGUAGCCGGCCUGAGAGGGUGACCGGCCACACUGGGACUGAGACACGUCCCAGACUCCUACGGGAGGCAGCAGUGGGGAAUAUUGCACAAUGGGCGGAAGCCUGAUGCAGCGACGCCGCGUGAGGGAUGACGGCCUUCGGGUUGUAAACCUCUUUCAGCACGGAAGAAGCGAAAGUGACGGUACGUGCAGAAGAAGCGCCGGCUAACUACGUG